rnacentral:rRNA from 1 species
UCGGGAAUUUUGGGCAAUGGGCGAAAGCCUGACCCAGCAACGCCGCGUGAAGGAUGAAGUAUUUCGGUAUGUAAACUUCGAAAGAAUAGGAAGAAUAAAUGACGGUACUAUUUAUAAGGUCCGGCUAACUACGUGCCAGCAGCCGCGGUAAUACAGAGGGUGCAAGCGUUAAUCGGAAUGACUGGGCGUAAAGGGCGCGUAGGUGGAUACGUAAGUAAAUUGUGAAAGACCCGGGCUUAACCUGGGAAGGUCAAUUUAAACGGCGUGUCUGGAGUGGAGUAGAGGGAAGUAGAAUUUCCGGUGUAGCGGUGAAAUGCGUAGAUAUCGGAAGGAAUACCGGUGGCGAAGGCGUCUUCCUGGACUCUAACUGACGCUGUAGCGCGAAAGCGUGGGGAUCAAACAGGAUUAGAUACCCACGUAGUCCCUGAGCGGGCUGGCAAGGCGCAU